rnacentral:rRNA from 1 species
GACGAACGCUGGCGGCGUGCCUAAUACAUGCAAGUUGAGCGCUGAAGGUUGGUACUUGUACCAACUGGAUGAGCAGCGAACGGGUGAGUAACGCGUGGGGAAUCUGCCUUUGAGCGGGGGACAACAUUUGGAAACGAAUGCUAAUACCGCAUAAAAACUUUAAACACAAGUUUUAAGUUUGAAAGAUGCAAUUGCAUCACUCAAAGAUGAUCCCGCGUUGUAUUAGCUAGUUGGUGAGGUAAAGGCCCACCAAGGCGAUGAUACAUAGCCGACCUGAGAGGGGGAUCGGCCACAUUGGGACUGAGACACGGCCCAAACCCCUACGGGAGGCAGCAGUAGGGGAUCUUCGGCAAUGGACGAAAGUCUGAACGAGCAACGCCGCGUGAGUGAAGAAGGUUUUCGGAUCGGAAAAAUCUGUUGGUAGAGAAGAACGUUGGUGAGAGUGGAAAGCUCAUCAAGUGACGGUAACUACCCAGAAAGGGACGGCUAACUACGUG